rnacentral:rRNA from 1 species
AUUGAACGCUGGCGGCAGGCCUAACACAUGCAAGUCGAACGAGUGGCGGACGGGUGAGUAAUGUCUGGGAAUCUGCCCGAUGGAGGGGGAUAACUACUGGAAACGGUAGCUAAUACCGCAUACCUUCGGAUGUGCCCAGAUGGGAUUAGCUAGUAGGUGGGGUAACGGGUCACCUAGGCGACGAUCCCUAGCUGGUCUGAGAGGAUGACCAGGCACACGGGAACUGAGACACGGACCAGAGGCCUAGGGGAGGAAGCAGUGGGGAAUAGUGCACAAUGGGAGAAAGCCUGAUGCAGCCAUGCCGCGUGUAUGAAGAAGGGCGUCGGGUUGUAAAGUACUUUCAGCGAGGAGGCGGUACUCGCAGAAGAAGCAUCGGCUAACUACGUGCCAGCAGCCGCGGUAAUUC